rnacentral:rRNA from 1 species
GACGAACGCUGGCGGCAUGCCUAAUACAUGCAAGUCGAACGAUGACGUCACUGCUUGCAGUGACUGAUUAGUGGCGAACGGGUGAGUAACACGUGAGGAACUUGCCCAUGAGCGGGGGACAACAUUCGGAAACGGAUGCUAAUACCCCGUAGGUGGAUUGGUCGCAUGACGAAUUCAUUAAAGGUGGCUCUGCUACCACUCAUGGAUAGCCUCGCGGCCUAUCAGCUUGUUGGUGGGGUAAUGGCCUACCAAGGCGGCGACGGGUAGCCGGACUGAGAGGUUGGUCGGCCACAUUGGGACUGAGAUACGGCCCAGACUCCUACGGGAGGCAGCAGUGGGGAACAUUGCACAAUGGGCGCAAGCCUGAUGCAGCGACGCCGCGUGGGGGAUGACGGCCUUCGGGUUGUAAACUCCUUUCGCCAGGGACGAAGCGUUUUGUGACGGUACCUGGAGAAGAAGCACCGGCUAACUACGUGCCAGCAGCCGCGGUAAUACGUAGGGUGCAAGCGUUGUCCGGAAUUACUGGGCGUAAAGAGCUCGUAGGUGGUUUGUCACGUCGUCUGUGAAAUUCCACAGCUUAACUGUGGGCGUGCAGGCGAUACGGGCUGACUUGAGUACUGUAGGGGUAACUGGAAUUCCUGGUGUAGCGGUGAAAUGCGCAGAUAUCAGGAGGAACACCGAUGGCGAAGGCAGGUUACUGGGCAGUUACUGACGCUGAGGAGCGAAAGCAUGGGUAGCAAACAGGAUUAGAUACCCUGGUAGUCCAUGCCGUAAACGGUGGGCGCUAGGUGUAGGGGCCUUUUGGGGUUUCUGUGCCGUAGCUAACGCAUUAAGCGCCCCGCCUGGGGAGUACGGCCGCAAGGCUAAAACUCAAAGGAAUUGACGGGGGCCCGCACAAGCGGCGGAGCAUGUGGAUUAAUUCGAUGCAACGCGAAGAACCUUACCUGGGCUUGACAUACACCAGAUCGCUGCAGAGAUGUAGUUUCCCUUGUGGCUGGUGUACAGGUGGUGCAUGGCUGUCGUCAGCUCGUGUCGUGAGAUGUUGGGUUAAGUCCCGCAACGAGCGCAACCCUUGUCUUAUGUUGCCAGCACGUUAUGGUGGGGACUCAUGAGGGACUGCCGGGGUUAACUUGGAGGAAGGUGGGGACGACGUCAAGUCACCAUGCCCCUUAUGUCCAGGGCUUCACACAUGCUACAAUGGCCGGUACAAUGCGCAGCGAGCCUGUGAGGGUGAGCUAAUCGCUUAAAGCUGGUCUUAGUUCGGAUUGGGGUCUGCAACUCGACCCCAUGAAGUCGGAGUCGCUAGUAAUCGCAGAUCAGCAAUGCUGCGGUGAAUACGUUCCCGGGCCU